rnacentral:rRNA from 1 species
AACGAACGCUGGCGGCAUGCCUAACACAUGCAAGUCGAACGGACCCUUCGGGGUCAGUGGCGCACGGGUGCGUAACNCGUGGGAAUCUGCCCUUCGGUUCGGAAUAACUCGGGGAAACCCGAGCUAAUACCGGAUGAUGUCUUCGGACCAAAGAUUUAUCGCCGAAGGAGGAGCCCGCGUCCGAUUAGCUAGUUGGUGAGGUAAAGGCUCACCAAGGCGACGAUCGGUAGCUGGUCUGAGAGGAUGAUCAGCCACACUGGGACUGAGACACGGCCCAGACUCCUACGGGAGGCAGCAGUGGGGAAUAUUGGACAAUGGGCGAAAGCCUGAUCCAGCAAUGCCGCGUGAGUGAUGAAGGCCUUAGGGUUGUAAAGCUCUUUUACCCGGGAUGAUAAUGACAGUACCGGGAGAAUAAGCCCCGGCUAACUCCGUGCCAGCAGCCGCGGUAAUACGGAGGGGGCGUAGCGUUGUUCGGAAUUACUGGGCGUAAAGCGCACGUAGGCGGCUUUGUAAGUU